AACGAACGCUGGCGGCAGGCCUAACACAUGCAAGUCGAACGCACCGCAAGGUGAGUGGCGCACGGGUGAGUAACACGUGGGAAUGUACCCUUUGGUUCGGAAUAACGUUUGGAAACGAACGCUAAUACCGGAUGAGCCCUGCGGGGGAAAGAUUUAUCGCCAAAGGAGCAGCCCGCGUCUGAUUAGCUAGUUGGUGGGGUAAAGGCCUACCAAGGCGACGAUCAGUAGCUGGUCUGAGAGGAUGAUCAGCCACACUGGGACUGAGACACGGCCCAGACUCCUACGGGAGGCAGCAGUGGGGAAUAUUGGACAAUGGGCGCAAGCCUGAUCCAGCCAUGCCGCGUGAGUGAUGAAGGCCUUCGGGUUGUAAAGGUCUCCUUCGCACGCGACGAUGAUGACGGUAGCGUGAGAAGAAG
rnacentral:rRNA from 1 species